CGGGAAGUAGCUCAGCUUGGUAGAGCACUUGGUUUGGGUCCAAGGGGUCGCAGGUUCGAAUCCUGUCUUCCCGACCA
rnacentral:tRNA from 1 species